rnacentral:rRNA from 1 species
UGGGGAAUAUUGCACAAUGGGCGCAAGCCUGAUGCAGCCAUGCCGCGUGUGUGAAGAAGGCCUUCGGGUUGUAAAGCACUUUCAGCGAGGAGGAAGGCAGUCGUGUUAAUAGCACGGUUGAUUGACGUUACUCGCAGAAGAAGCACCGGCUAACUCCGUGCCAGCAGCCGCGGUAAUACGGAGGGUGCAAGCGUUAAUCGGAAUUACUGGGCGUAAAGCGCACGCAGGCGGUUUGUUAAGUCAGAUGUGAAAUCCCCGCGCUUAACGUGGGAACUGCAUUUGAAACUGGCAAGCUAGAGUCUUGUAGAGGGGGGUAGAAUUCCAGGUGUAGCGGUGAGAUGCGUAGAGAUCUGGAGGAAUACCGGUGGCGAAGGCGGCCCCCUGGACAAAGACUGACGCUCAGGUGCGAAAGCGUGGGGAGCAAACA